rnacentral:tRNA from 1 species
GAGGGUGUAGCUCGGUGGUAGAGCACAUGCUUAGGAUGGACGGGGUCCUGGGUUCAAUCCCCAGUACCUCCA